rnacentral:misc_RNA from 1 species
AAAUGAGGUGGGAGAAACAGGAGACCCGGGCAGUUCAAGCCGGGCAGUCUGCCCGAUGAUAUCGGUUCCUUGGUCUCCUUUGUUAAUAUCCUUCUCGAUAACAUAUUUUUCGCCGCUACUUUGUGAACACUCGUAUUAUGUGAUUUUAUUUUUAUUUUUGUUUCAUUUUUUUAAAAUAUAAAUUUGUGAUUUUUAUUGAUCUAGACUUUGCAGUAUUUGCUUUCUGUUUAUUAUUUUUAAUUGGAUUUUUCGGCGGCGACGUAACAGACUGGACGUGAGAAGAAAACCGAGAGGAGAAUAAAAGAAGCUGGUUAAAAUAUUACGUAAGACACGGAAGUGAUGCUUACGAGGACCCAGCUCACGCGGUCACAUUUAGGAGCACCAGACGUGACCCAAAAUCCUGAGCAGGAAAAUCACCAAAGUACGGCAUUAGGACUGUGUCGUUAGGUCACAAGGAGUCCGGAUAUAAAAGUGAAAAAAAAAGAAAGGAUAAAAUAAAAAAAACAGUAAGCAGCCGAGAAUAAAUUGUUGGAGCAGGAGCAGUAUCUAGCUCGCCGGCAUUUAUGAUCGUCUUCGGGCUUCAACGGGACGUCAGAGCGUCGUCCUGGUGGCCGCUUUUUAUUGAUACGUCUUGAGGUUUUUUCUUAACCGCCACCCGGCAUUAGCUCCCGUCGAACUAGACACCCAAAUUCAAUACUUUGAGGCUUUACUUUACUUUAAAUUUCAUUCCGUGUCAGUUUUGAAGAUAAUUCGUGGGACUUUACUUCCAAAUUCAAAAUGUUGCCGACAAACGUUAUGUCUUUUAUGAAGAAGAUGGUGACGACGCAGCCGGAAUCAAAUGUAGAAACAGUGACACCCGAAGACACUGGAACAACUUUCAGCAAACUAAGACAGUUGAUGACGGUAACGGGUAAUGUGGCAAAAGGUACGCCGGCUAAAAUUACACCCGUAGAAGAUCUAGUACCAAAAGAAGGAGCACCAAUUAUCGAGCCAAUAAAACCAAAAUCAGAACCAGGACGACCAGCAAGCAGAACGGGAAACUCUUGCAGAGUUUGCCUCAAGGCCUUCAAACCCGAUGAUUUCUCACGUACCUGUUAUGAAUGUCACCUCAAGGUUUGCGAUGAUUGCGCCUCUUAUUCAGAAACAAAAGACUUAGAUGAUCCAUCAACGUGGCGGUGUAGCAUUUGUCGGCGUAAAAUAGCGUCACGUGGACAACCAAUUGUAACCCAAGAAUCAACAGACUCAUUACUAGAAGUGCCAGUACUCGAAGCAUUACAAAGACGACACAGCGAUGCAAGGCUAAGUUGUCAAAGCGGCGGUCCAGCGGCAACUCUUGGCAGUGGUUUGGCGCCACCGCGGAGCCCGGAGCUGAGAAGACACUCAGAUGUGUCCCCCGCGAGCCUCAAAGAGCUCGAAAAGUUUCGAAAGGUUGCAGGAGAACGCCGCGAGGAGCUCAGAUGGGAGCGUGAGCUCGAGUGGAGAAGUAAAUCCCGCAGUGGGUCACCUGAAAGGCAUUCCAAUGAUCGUGGGCGACCUACUAGUCCAUCGAGAACUGCUAAAACUCCUUCUAUUGAGCAAGAGGGAGACAUUGGGGAGGAUGAAGAUGAAAGACGAAGACGCGCGGUCCGCAGAAGUGGCGGUACAGUUAGACGAAAAUCCCGGGUAACAAGACAGCACUCGUACGACGAUGAAAUUAAAUCAGGCGGAACCCUGGGCAGCGCUGGAGGAGGAGGAGGAGGAGGAGGAGGUGGGGGAGGAGGCGGCGGGGGUGGUCAAACGGGCCAUAAUGAACCCGGGCUGGGUCUUCCGGUCCAGUUGCCACGUAGAGCGUCGGCUUACGAUGUGUACGCGACACCCGGAAGCGGAGGCCUCAACGCCAUGGCAAUCGCCGCUGCUCAGCAGCGAGCCUCUAUUUCUGCACAAGGUGCUCGAGAACCCGAUGAACGACCGCUAGGGAGAAGACAGUCAUUCCGCGUCGUAAAACCGAUGCCGUAUGAAAUGAAUAAUGACGAAGAGAAAAUAAUAAAUUUGGACAACACUAAUGCAUCAGAUUCCCAAGUCCUGCAGCCAGAUGAACAGCCGAGACCUAUGAGACGAAGAGCUUCUAUGCUGCCUGACAUAAACAUGAUAAGAUCACUUCCAUCAGUCCCGGGUUCAGUGAAAGGAAACCCAGCAUCAGUAGCUCGAGUCGCCGCGCAGGAUGACCGAGAACUACCGCGACAAGGGAGUUUAGCGGACGGAGAAGGCAUAAAAAUCGUGAUCCACGACGUCGACAGUGAUCUCGCUCCCAGGAUGAAUACAAAACGCAGGAUUGUUCUCAGAAGGGAUCCGCUUCUCAUGGACAAAGGACACAGAUCUCGAGGGUUCGGUAUGCGUGUUAUCGGAGGUAAAAAUGCCAGUGACGGGCGUUUGUAUGCCUCAAUAGUGUGGACGGUACCUGGGGGACCAGCAGACAAGGCAGGUCUUCAGACAGGUGACAAGGUACUCGAAUGGUCAGGAGUGUCUCUCAUCGAUCGAAACUUCGAGGAUGUGGCACAGAUAAUUGAACGCUCGAGUGAUGUUGCUGAACUUGUUGUUGAGCAUGUAGGAGAUAUGGGCAUCGAUUCGCUGGACGAGCCCGGUAUGCCGCCGCCAUCAUCUAAAACAUCUGGAAACUUAGGUCUUCAGUUAGACUCGGAAACGGAUAAAACGCCUUCGUCACCGACCCGCAGGAAACUGCCAAAGACGCCGGAAAAAAUACCAAAAGAUCGACCAGUAAGUGGUCGUGUACAGAUUCACGUGUGGUACGAAACAGACAGGAAAGAGCUGGUAGUGUCAGUUUUGGCAGCUGAUGAGCUUUGUGUUCGAGACGAUGGUACGCCACCGGAAGCUGUCGCCAAACUCGUUCUCAUUCCAGCCUGCGUCGAUCAGAGCUCUCUGCAAACAGACGUCGCUGGUCCGACGCAAAAUCCUAUUUGGAACGCAAAUCUGACGUUUACCGGGAUCGCUGGUGAGAAGCUAAUGGACAAAACGAUCGAUGUUACCCUCUGGGACUGCCAUCCUGAUGGUGAUAAUAUUUUCCUCGGGGAGUGUUCUGUUGAGUUGCAGAACGCUUUUGAGGCUGAUCGGGAAGCUUGGUAUCGAUUGGAAGACCCUCGGGGAAUCCGCUCAGGGAAAUCUCCUUACGCUUCACCGCGUGGCUCGCUGUCAAUGGAAGUAGCGUUAGCGCAGAGGUUACUUAGACGAGAGAUUCGAGAGCGAAGUUACAGCGAAGACACUCAAAGCGAUAGUGGGAGUCCGGAGCCUUAUUUCCUGCACCCAGACCACGCUUGGCAGGCAAACUCUCGACGCGGUUCCUCACAAUCUGAACAAUUAGAAGUUGAGACUUAUGAACUUAGCAAGGAUUACAGCAGAUCGCUUCCCGGAAGCAGAAGGAGCAGCUUUCAAAGUCAAGGCGGUACUGAUAGCAAACGUGGAAGCAUAGUCGACACUGAAAUGCCAAGUGGUUAUUACAACCGCGACCGGCGACGCAGCUCCGUAGCAAGGUCAGCCCGUGAUCCAGAAGAAGUGUUGCGAUCCUUGAAAAAAGCUGCUGCCAAGGGCGAGCUCGGCAGAACAAUGAGUCUAUCCAGUGACAAAAGACGCGGAAGCCUGCGAGCCUGUGUCUCCGAGGACCGGUAAUUCGGCCUCCUUCUCACUACCGCACGCCACACCACCCCGAUAAUUAUCGCAAGGCAUUGUCGUCCAACGAAUUACGACACCGGGCGAGACGAGCGCAAAGACAGCAUUGGAGGAGUACGUGGCGAAAAACGUGACAGCAUAGGACAAACAAUGAUGGCAUUUUCCGAGCGAUUUU